UACAGAGGGUGCGAGCGUUGUCCGGAAUCACUGGGCGUAAAGGGCGCGUAGGCGGUCUCUUAAGCGUGUGGUGAAAGCCCGGGGCUCAACUCCGGGUCGGCCGUGCGAACUGGGGGACUGGAGCUUGUCAGAGGCAGGCGGAAUUCCGGGUGUAGCGGUGGAAUGCGUAGAGAUCCGGAAGAACACCGGUGGCGAAGACGGCCUGCUGGGACAGUGCUGACGCUGAGGCGCGACAGCGUGGGGAGCGAACAGG
rnacentral:rRNA from 1 species